AGCACUGGGGACAAAAGUCUUUUACAUGACACUGAACUUCUGACUGCGGCAAAACAUGGCAGCUUGCCACUAUAUCCUUAACAGGAUGCUUGUCACUGGACAAUUCUUUACUGUGAAUUUGGCAAUGGAAUGCCAACCGAAAUGAAGCAGAUGGUCAGAGGAUUUAGAUGUAGCUAAUUCUUGUAUAUUUUUGCCUUACAUGCCUUUUUGGAUGAAUAUUCCUUACAAGAAAGCAGUAAAGGCAAAGAUUUCCAGCUUU